AGGGAAGAUCACAUGGGUAGAGGGCGAAGUGAAAAGAGCAAAGAGAAGAAUCCAAAGGUGCACGUGACUGACCACAACCCGACCCAACUCUUUGCAUUAAACCAACUAAUCAUGAUCCUGCCACGUAGACACGUUUGUAUUUUCGGACCCCACGCGCCUUCCUUUAUCGUGCAAUCACUCACCUCAUCAUUGCUUAAUUUCUG
rnacentral:lncRNA from 1 species